rnacentral:rRNA from 1 species
GAUGAACGCUGGCGGCGUGCCUAACACAUGCAAGUCGAACGGACAGACGAUGCUCUUGCUCGUUUCUCGUAAGCGGAGCGGGUGGGUGUAACAUGUGUAUACCCCACCUUUAUGACGGGUAAAAACUCGUGAAACCGGCGCUUAUACCGGAUAAGCUCCUGAAGCGCAUGGGGGGAUAGUUAAAGACGGCUUUUCGGGCACUUCUCGCGGCUUCCAGGCCGCAUUAGGUAGUUGUUACGGUAACGGCUUAUCAAGGCGACUAUGCGUAGCCGAGCUGAGAGGGUGAUCGGCCACACUGGAACUGAGACACGGUCCAGACUCCUACGGGAGGCAGCAGUAGGGAAUGUGGCGCAAUGGGCGAAAGCCUGACGGAGCAACGCCGCGUGUGUGAUGAAGGUCUUGGGAUCGUAAAGCUCUGUUAGGGGGGAAGAACAGAUGUGGAAUUAGACAUGGACUUAUUGACGGUAACUGAUAAAGAAGCACCGGCUAACUACGUG